rnacentral:misc_RNA from 1 species
AAUAGGGGAUUCAAAGUAAUGCAGAUCAACCCGGCGGCCAACAGGGCCUUCUUCAGAGCUCAAAAUAAUUAACAUAUCUCUUGACUGGGGAAAGUUUUUUGGACCCAGUUAUUGACGAGAUAUGUCUGUUUACUAAGACCUAUUUUAGUCCUUUUACGAGAUUGUACUAAGUAACACCUUUUGUCCUCUUUUAGUCGUCUGUGAAGACAUCCCUCCCCGACGUUUUAAGUCAACACGUGUUUAUGGAUACUUCCGGGACAUUUGGUCAAGCUCUGAUGGACCUGGGUACAACACACUCGAUUUUACUCAGUGAUGACGCCAUAGAGUCACUUGUCACCGCUGACAACAGAAGAGUUCACCCGGUCGCGCAUUCUCCGGGCAGCAAGCUGCUGUGGCGAAUUUUAGAGACUGAAGGCUCAUGCAGUAUUGACAAAGUUACUUCGGAUAGUUUGCAGAGGGCUGUGCGACAAAUACGACAGUGC